ACUUGUAUAAGUCAACAUAAAGGGUUGAUGUAUCUACAGUGAAACCUAUUUCGCUACUAUAAGU
rnacentral:ncRNA from 16 species